AUUAUACAAGACUAUUUGAUCAAAAGAUUUCAAGUGAAGCCGUACGAAAAAUAUGUUUAAAAGCCGAAAGAGUGUUUAGAAGUCACCCAGUCAAUACUGGUUGUAAGCAACAUUCUGUAUUUCUAUGGUAUAAAAUUAAAACUAGUAUAUUCAAAUAUAUAUUAUUUAAUGAUGAUAAUUGCGAAGAAAAUUAUUCAGUAUUAAAUACUCAUAGAGACCAAUUGACACAUUUGAUAAUAUACAAAUACUUGGCAAUCAGAAUGUUUUACAAAAUAAAAAAAAGAAUGAACAAUCAAAAAUUAGCAUUAAGUACACCAAAUUAAUUUUAUUCUAACACCAAUAAUGUAUCAAAUUGUUUUAAUGUUGUAUUUAAUUGUAUUUAAUAUUUUUCAGACGAAUAAAAUGUAAAUGUUUUAACGAAAUUAUAC